UUUCUGGGAAACAAAUAAAGGAAAGUCUAAAAUUAUUUUUCUUACCUUAAAAUUAUUUUUUUUACCUUCUUGGAGCAGCCUAAACCGUAAAAACGGGGUUGUGGGAGAGCACAAUAUAAGCUCUGUUCUGCUAGGCUAAGCUGUUGAGUCCUGCACCCUAGAUGGUGCGAGUCCAAUAGCCAAAAGAAUCAUUGGCUUACGCUCUAAUCCCAGUAGCAUGGGGCACUUGGAAUCACCGUGUGAAUCAACAAGGACCGCCUUGCAAGGCUAAAUACUCCUGGGUGACCGAUAGCUAAGUAGUAAGGUGAGAGAAAGGUGAAAAGAACCCCAUCAAUGAGUGAAAUAGAACAUGAAA
rnacentral:ncRNA from 1 species